rnacentral:rRNA from 1 species
GGUGAAAGGCCAAUCAAACCGGGAGAUAGCUGGUUCUCCCCGAAAGCUAUUUAGGUAGCGCCUCGUGAACUCAUCUUCGGGGGUAGAGCACUGUUUCGGCUAGGGGGCCAUCCCGGCUUACCAACCCGAUGCAAACUACGAAUACCGAAGAAUGUUAUCACGGGAGACACACGGCGGGUGCUAACGUCCGUCGUGAAGAGGGAAACAACCCAGACCGCCAGCUAAGGUCCCAAAGUCAUGGUUAAGUGGGAAACGAUGUGGGAAGGCACAGACAGCCAGGAUGUUGGCUUAGAAGCAGCCAUCAUUUAAAGAAAGCGUAAUAGCUCACUGGUCGAGUCGGCCUGCGCGGAAGAUGUAACGGGGCUAAACCAUGCACCGAAGCUGCGGCAGCGACACUAUGUGUUGUUGGGUAGGGGAGCGUUCUGUAAGCCGUUGAAGGUGGCCUGUGAGGGUUGCUGGAGGUAUCAGAAGUGCGAAUGCUGACAUAAGUAACGAUAAAGCGGGUGAAAAGCCCGCUCGCCGGAAGACCAAGGGUUCCUGUCCAACGUUAAUCGGGGCAGGGUGAGUCGACCCCUAAGGCGAGGCCGAAAGGCGUAGUCGAUGGGAAACAGGUUAAUAUUCCUGUACUUGGUGUUACUGCGAAGGGGGGACGGAGAAGGCUAUGUUAGCCGGGCGACGGUUGUCCCGGUUUAAGCAUGUAGGCGGAGGUUCCAGGUAAAUCCGGUACCUUUUUAACGCUGAGGUGUGAUGACGAGGCACUACGGUGCUGAAGUAACAAAUGCCCUGCUUCCAGGAAAAGCCUCUAAGCAUCAGGUAACACGAAAUCGUACCCCAAACCGACACAGGUGGUCAGGUAGAGAAUACCAAGGCGCUUGAGAGAACUCGGGUGAAGGAACUAGGCAAAAUGGUGCCGUAACUUCGGGAGAAGGCACGCUGAUAUGUAGGUGAAGCCCCUGCGGGUGGAGCUGAAAUCAGUCGAAGAUACCAGCUGGCUGCAACUGUUUAUUAAAAACACAGCACUGUGCAAACACGAAAGUGGACGUAUACGGUGUGACGCCUGCCCGGUGCCGGAAGGUUAAUUGAUGGGGUUAGCGGUAACGCGAAGCUCUUGAUCGAAGCCCCGGUAAACGGCGGCCGUAACUAUAACGGUCCUAAGGUAGCGAAAUUCCUUGUCGGGUAAGUUCCGACCUGCACGAAUGGCGUAAUGAUGGCCAGGCUGUCUCCACCCGAGACUCAGUGAAAUUGAACUCGCUGUGAAGAUGCAGUGUACCCGCGGCAAGACGGAAAGACCCCGUGAACCUUUACUAUAGCUUGACACUGAACAUUGAGCCUUGAUGUGUAGGAUAGGUGGGAGGCUUUGAAGCGUGGACGCCAGUCUGCGUGGAGCCGACCUUGAAAUACCACCCUUUAAUGGCUGGUGUUCUAACGUAGACCCGUAAUCCGGGUUGCGGACAGUGUCUGGUGGGUAGUUUGACUGGGGCGGUCUCCUCCCAAAGAGUAACGGAGGAGCACGAAGGUUAGCUAAUCCUGGUCGGACAUCAGGAGGUUAGUGCAAUGGCAUAAGCUAGCUUGACUGCGAGAGUGACGGCUCGAGCAGGUGCGAAAGCAGGUCAUAGUGAUCCGGUGGUUCUGAAUGGAAGGGCCAUCGCUCAACGGAUAAAAGGUACUCCGGGGAUAACAGGCUGAUACCGCCCAAGAGUUCAUAUCGACGGCGGUGUUUGGCACCUCGAUGUCGGCUCAUCACAUCCUGGGGCUGAAGUAGGUCCCAAGGGUAUGGCUGUUCGCCAUUUAAAGUGGUACGCGAGCUGGGUUUAGAACGUCGUGAGACAGUUCGGUCCCUAUCUGCCGUGGGCGCUGGAGAAUUGAGGGGGGCUGCUCCUAGUACGAGAGGACCGGAGUGGACGCAUCACUGGUGUUCGGGUUGUCAUGCCAAUGGCACUGCCCGGUAGCUAAAUGCGGAAGAGAUAAGUGCUGAAAGCAUCUAAGCACGAAACUUGCCCCGAGAUGAGUUCU